GAUGGACGCUGGCGGCGUGCCUAAUACAUGCAAGUCGAGCGAACGGACGAGAAGCUUGCUUCUCUGAUGUUAGCGGCGGACGGGUGAGUAACACGUGGAUAACCUACCUAUAAGACUGGGAUAACUUCGGGAAACCGGAGCUAAUACCGGAUAAUAUUUUGAACCGCAUGGUUCAAAAGUGAAAGACGGUCUUGCUGUCACUUAUAGAUGGAUCCGCGCUGCAUUAGCUAGUUGGUAAGGUAACGGCUUACCAAGGCAACGAUGCAUAGCCGACCUGAGAGGGUGAUCGGCCACACUGGAACUGAGACACGGUCCAGACUCCUACGGGAGGCAGCCGUAGGGAAUCUUCCGCAAUGGGCGAAAGCCUGACGGAGCAACGCCGCGUGAGUGAUGAAGGUCUUCGGAUCGUAAAACUCUGUUAUUAGGGAAGAACAUAUGUGUAAGUAACUGUGCACAUCUUGACGGUACCUAAUCAGAAAGCCACGGCUAACUACGUG
rnacentral:rRNA from 1 species